rnacentral:rRNA from 1 species
GAGACAGCAGCCGCCGCGGGAAAACGUAGGUGGCAAGCGUUAUCCGGAAUUAUUGGGCGUAAAGCGCGCGUAGGCGGUUUUUUAAGUCUGAUGUGAAAGCCCACGGCUCAACCGUGGAGGGUCAUUGGAAACUGGAAAACUUGAGUGCAGAAGAGGAAAGUGGAAUUCCAUGUGUAGCGGUGAAAUGCGCAGAGAUAUGGAGGAACACCAGUGGCGAAGGCGACUUUCUGGUCUGUAACUGACGCUGAUGUGCGAAAGCGUGGGGAUCAAACAGGAUUAGAUACCCCAGUAGUCCCUGUCUCUUAUAC